GGGAACCCGAUCGCUGCCGCCGGAGCCAACGCAACGCAUACCGCAGCUCGGACCAAAAACGACAUAAAGUUAAUUGACAUGCUAGUUCAUGUAUAGGAAUUGUUUCCUUUUAUACCCGGUACUCGAAGAGUAAAUAGGGUAUAUUGUAUUUGUGCGAAUAACAGUUGUAUGUAACGCACCGAAGGAAGCGUUUCCGACCACAUAAAGUUAAUGGCGCCCAACGGGAUUUAGGAUCCACGUCCCCAAGAAAAAUAACAUGUAAGUGACUGUUCGGAAAAAAUAAAGCUUGUGAGAG
rnacentral:lncRNA from 1 species